GCCAGACUCCUACGGGAGGCAGCAGUGAGGAAUAUUGGUCAAUGGGCGAGAGCCUGAACCAGCCAAGUCGCGUGAGGGAGUACUGCCCUAUGGGUUGUAAACCUCUUUUGUCGGGGAGCAAAAGCCGGACGUGUCCGUCUGUGAGAGUACCCGAAGAAAAAGCAUCGGCUAACUCCGUGCCAGCAGCCGCGGUAAUACGGAGGAUGCGAGCGUUAUCCGGAUUUAUUGGGUUUAAAGGGUGCGCAGGCGGAUUUUUAAGUCAGCGGUCAAAUCGUGGGGCUCAACCCCAUCCAGCCGUUGAAACUGGCAGUCUCGAGUUGGAGAGAAGUAUGCGGAAUGCGCGGUGUAGCGGUGAAAUGCAUAGAUAUCGCGCAGAACUCCGAUUGCGAAGGCAGCAUGCCGGCUCCACACUGACGCUGAGGCACGAAAGCGUGGGUAUCGAACAGGAUUAGAUACCCUAGUAC
rnacentral:rRNA from 1 species